rnacentral:rRNA from 2 species
UGCAGAAUCCCGUGAACCAUCGAGUCUUUGAACGCAAGUUGCGCCCGAAGCCAUUAGGCCGAGGGCACGUCUGCCUGGGCGUCACACAACGUUGCCCCCCCAAACCUCGACUUCCAAGAGGACGGGGGGCGGAUGCUGGCCUCCCGUGCGCCACGGCUCGCGGUUGGCCUAAAUGCGAGUACUCGGCGACGAGCGCCGCGGCAAUCGGUGGUUGUCCAACCCUCGGUGCCAUGCCGCGCGCGCGAUCCGCUCACUGUUACUCGACGACCCCAAUGCGUCGUAGCCACGACGCUCACAACGCGACCCCAGGUCAGGCGGGGCUACCCGCUGAGUUUAA